UAGCCCCGACCGGGGUUGGAUCCCGACCUACCUCGUAUGCACGUUCGGUUGGACCCGCCCGGGUUCAUACUCCGUCCAAAUCCACUCCGAACCGCCGGGUUUCCACCGGGAUUUAACCCACGCCUCGUCACGCGCGGAACGAAACAGCUCAGCCGAGCCCGUCGAAAUAGAAAAGAGGAGAAGGCGAGAGCGGCGUAGGCGGCGGCCGGCCUGGAUGGCGGAGCAGGGGCCGGAGCUCAGCAGCCACUGCAGCCUACUCCGGUCUUCCUCCCCAACAUCAGGCCGCUCCACGGCUCAUCUCUGUUUGCUGCAACUGCCAUGUCCAAUUGAUCGAUGGAUCUAUCUCUGGAACUAGUGAAUUGAAUGAGAUUUUGGUGCGGGAAUGAAGUGGGGAUCGGGUGGCGGGGUGGGAGUCACCCAAUCCCUGGGUGGAUUGAAGCCACUAGGGGAUUGCAUCUCCACCAACCAAACAAAGCCUUAAAGUUUCACGACUAGUGUCACUUCAUGCUCCCCACGGUCAGAGAGGAAGUCCCUAAGGUCACGAGGCUAUCCUGUUAAAGCUAAAAAAAUUAUACGUGAUUUCCUGCACGUAUUUUUUGAAGUAAGAAAUUCUUGAUUUGCUUAAAUUUGUACAUUUGUUGUUCUAACUGUUCCAUGCUUCGACGACAGGAAAUAUUGCUAUUUCAUUUCCAUGGCCAUUACUCCAUUAGCCCGUUUAGUCCUGGAACAAUAGUUUCUACAGAUAAUUUUUCUUCUACGUAUAAAAUUUAUGUCAUUGUUUCAUUCUAGAGCAGGAACUUGCCUUUUCAACUAA